rnacentral:pre_miRNA from 1 species
UGAACUCAAAUUUGUAUGAAGUUGGAACGUUUGCCGCUAGGGGCGCUGUUCCAACUGCAUACAAAUGUGAGUUA